rnacentral:rRNA from 1 species
UCGACGAUGAACCGCUUUCGGGCGGGGAUUAGUGGCGAACGGGUGAGUAACACGUGGGCAAUCUGCCCUGCACUCUGGGACAAGCCCUGGAAACGGGGUCUAAUACCGGAUAUGACUGUCCAUCGCAUGGUGGAUGGUGUAAAGCUCCGGCGGUGCAGGAUGAGCCCGCGGCCUAUCAGCUUGUUGGUGAGGUAGUGGCUCACCAAGGCGACGACGGGUAGCCGGCCUGAGAGGGCGACCGGCCACACUGGGACUGAGACACGGCCCAGACUCCUACGGGAGGCAGCAGUGGGGAAUAUUGCACAAUGGGCGAAAGCCUGAUGCAGCGACGCCGCGUGAGGGAUGACGGCCUUCGGGUUGUAAACCUCUUUCAGCAGGGAAGAAGCGAAAGUGACGGUACCUGCAGAAGAAGCGCCGGCUAACUACGUGCCAGCAGCCGCGGUAAUACGUAGGGCGCAAGCGUUGUCCGGAAUUAUUGGGCGUAAAGAGCUCGUAGGCGGCUUGUCACGUCGGUUGUGAAAGCCCGGGGCUUAACCCCGGGUCUGCAGUCGAUACGGGCAGGCUAGAGUUCGGUAGGGGAGAUCGGAAUUCCUGGUGUAGCGGUGAAAUGCGCAGAUAUCAGGAGGAACACCGGUGGCGAAGGCGGAUCUCUGGGCCGAUACUGACGCUGAGGA